CCAAAGUGUCCAUUUCUGUGGACAAUCUGAGCGUCAGUAAGGGAGACAAUUUGAGCGUCAAUUAGAGAGACAUUACAAGAGACAUAUUCCAAUCUGGUUCUGGAACAAGAAACACGAAACUAGAGUCAGAGCUGAUUUUAGAAGAAGAGAGAAGGAGGAUAAAAAGUGGUCGCAUAGGAAAGAGGCACCCCCAAUCCUGAGGCAGCGGAACCUGUCCAUGUGGAUGGACCAUGGGAUGAGACUCGACACGAUGGUCUCCCAGGUGACAGCAAGGCCAGAGGCACUGGAGGAACACGGUCCGAAGGAAGGCCGGCCCAUAGAUGUGUUAUGUGCAAUCGUGGUGUGGAUCAUUUACAGCGUUGUUACAACGUUUGAUAAUAUGCGAAUGUGAACGUAGGAAGAAAGAAACAACGAUGCAUUCUCCUGCGAUAGAAGAGAAUUGGAACUUAUUAUAUGCGACGGUUCUGUCCAGUUGGAUUCGUUCUCUUCCUCCUUCUCUCCGUCCGCCUCUUCUCUCUCGCCUCUCUCUUGUUCUUGCUCGCUGGAUGGAGUGGCCGACGGUGUCUGCGUCAUAUUAACGUUACGUGCCCGCAAUUCGGCCAGGAAAUCGUUCUCUUGCUGGUAGCGACGUUGCAGCUCUUCCCGCCACGAAUUUCCACCGCCACUACUAUCAUCCCCGUCUUCACCAGCCUCGAAGUCUAACAGACGAAAAUCAUUUCGACAUUAUGUCUUUUCAAAAUAGAAAACUAUUUUUUUUUUGUACAUUCAUGUGUAGUUCAUGGUAACACUUUUAUCUUUCAUUGUUCUGAGCGAAUUAAUGUCAAGUUUACUGGAGCUUAGCGUAUACAAGUAUGCAAGAUGAGACAUUCAUAAUGGAAUACUUAAAUGUCCUUUUUACUUACAAUUAUAUGUGUAAAGAAACUAAGGAGAAAGUUAUGCUACUCUUAAAUAUUUUAAAUAGCAUCGUUCAUCGUGUAUGAAAAAGAUUAUGUCUGCGUGGAGGUCAAAUUUAUGAUGAUAGGGAUCCAAAAAAAUAAGCUAAACAUAAGAAUAAUACUUUAUAAAAUUAUAGAAGUAAAUGAUAUGGUUUCUACAUUUAAAUAACAUUGAUGACUUUGGAACUUUGAACUGAAAAGAAGGAAGAUCAUGAUUCGUUUCAAACGAUGUUUUCAUAUGUAUAAUUAUAAUUAACAGCGACAUUCAAGUAUUCCUGUAUAAACAUUCCAUCCUGGAUAUAUAUAUAUAUAUAUACAAUAAAGGUAUCGAUGUGUUUCUUGUCGAUAAGAUAAAUUAUAACUAGAAUUUUUAAACAUUAAUCUACAAUUUAGAUCAAAUUAGUCUACGAAUUCUUUAGCUUUAGUUGUACGGUUACAGUAUUCUAUUGUAUAAUCGAGUAUAAAUGAAAUUCUAGAUAAUUGGUACUAGUUCUGAGAGUAACAAUAAUACAGUCUUUGCUAUCGUAUGUGAAUGAAAUUAUUACAGAGAUGUAACCGAUGAGAAUAUAACAUUAAUAAUUUAACAUUGAUACUCUACAUUCUGAAAUAGCGGACCACUUUUCAUAAUGCUCAUUCAUGGUAUAAAUAAUUAAACUAAUGCAAAGAAAGCAAGUGAUGUCAUAUUUUGCAAAUGCUUGUGAGAAUGUAAAAAAGUUAACAAUAAUGUUCGGUAUUUCAACAAACUCUUACCUAACGGCUUUCUGAUGUUAAGACGGCCAGAGUUGUGAGAAUGAUCCUCCUGGUCUGAGUCUGCAAGCCACCAGGACACAUUCACAGGGGGUGCAUAUCACACACAUUCCACAACACGUCUAAAGUGUUAUUUGUAUAGGAACAUCUAUUUGUUAUCCGGUACAGAGAACAUUUUUCAAGAACUUUGAAUAUAUGUAUAUUAUUCCUGAUUUCAAAUAAAUCAAAUGUUUAGUGACACGUU